UCUCCUGGAAAACGGGUGGUAAUGCCGGAUGCUCCGGUUGGAUGCAUGUCCUUCCGGGAAAGAUUCUAUCGGUAUGGGAUGGGGUCGCGUCCUAUCAGCUUGAUGGCGGGGUAACGGCCCACCAUGGCUUCGACGGGUAGCCGGCCUGAGAGGGCGACCGGCCACAUUGGGACUGAGAUACGGCCCAGACUCCUACGGGAGGCAGCAGUGGGGAAUAUUGCACAAUGGGCGCAAGCCUGAUGCAGCGACGCCGCGUGCGGGAUGGAGGCCUUCGGGUUGUAAACCGCUUUUGAUCGGGAGCAAGCCCUUCGGGGUGAGUGUACCUUUCGAAUAAGCACCGGCUAACUACGUGCCAGCAGCCGCGGUAAUACGUAGGGUGCAAGCGUUAUCCGGAAUUAUUGGGCGUAAAGGGCUCGUAGGCGGUUCGUCGCGUCCGGUGUGAAAGCCCAUCGCUUAACGGUGGGUCUGCGCCGGGUACGGGCGGGCUGGAGUGCGGUAGGGGAGACUGGAAUUCCCGGUGUAACGGUGGAAUGUGUAGAUAUCGGAAAAGAACACCA
rnacentral:rRNA from 1 species